UGAUGAGAAGGAAAAUGCUAGAAGACCAGCAGAGAAAAAAAGACAAAGGUUCCUGAUGAAAGUGGAAUUAUACCUCCAGAUUGCCUUGGAAGUUGAGCUGCAACAUCAACUUUUCCCUGAAGCUCCAGCCUGCUAGCCUACCAGCACAUGCUGCAGAUUUUGGACUUGCCAGCCCCCACAAUUAUACAAGCUGUGAGCACCCUGCCCAAGUGAUCAAGUUCACCAGUGAAUAGAGUGGUCUGUGACACAAGUUCCUCUUCUUGCCCUCCCCUGACAGUGACCUAGUAACAUCCAAAAGGACCAGUGAAAUCCCUUCAAGCCUUUUCUGAUGUACUCUAUUCUGACGUAUAAGAAAAACCCUCGCCUGACGGUUUCUUGGGGCUUUUCACUGGCUUGGUUGAACCUGCUCCUGUGGUGCUCCUCCUCUGGGGCCCCUCUCAGCAUACAGUACUCUUUCUAGAACCUGUGAGCAUAAUAAACAUUGUUUCCCUGAGUCUCUCCCGUGUCCCGUCUUGGGGACACAUCUGAUUGACCACUACCGAAAAAAAAAAAAAAAAACAUACACACACACAUAAAACAUAUAUCAUAAUCCAUAUGAAUUGAUAAAGCUUUCUUAAUGCCAUUUUUGGAAAUAUUUCUAAUUUUUGCAAAUUUUAAGUACUGAAAUGAGUAUUCAUUAAGUGUUAUAUAUAAACGGCAAAUAUAUAUAUGUAUUUAUAUGCCUGCUAAGGCUAUUUCUUAAUGUUCAGAAAAGUAAUAUAAAGUGCUUGAUUUUGGAAACUAAAAAUCGAAAAUUUAAAAAGAAAUGCAUAAUGAACUUAAUUUUCAAUUUGGGUUUGGGGUCAACAAUGUGAAUCUCCUAAUAAUUGUCAAAAUUCAAUAAUUCAUACAUUAUUUAGUAUGCCCAUUUCUCCAAAACAGCCUUAAAAUUAAUCUAUUUUGUGGGAAACAUUGUGAAAGUUACCCAAAGAGAAGAAAAUGUGUUUAUGAUGAAGUUGCUGUCAUCCAGAAACUUAUAAUCAAGUUGGUAAGAUAUGACAUAAUUUGCAAUUUAAAGCACACGUGCACACACACGCACACACACACACACACAAAUUCAAGGCUGCAUAUGUACCUAAGUAUAUCAAUUUUUUAAGUUGCUAUUUUGAUUUUUUUCAAAUAUACAGAUGUGUCUGAAUGCAGGGAUUAUAGCUGAGCACAAUAUCAGGCCACUGUAUAGAUUUGAUUACAUAGUAAUUAAAUAUCUUGAUGGGCGAUUCUCACUAUCUUAAAGAGAAAAGUACCCAGAGGGGGGAAAAAUUGAUAAAGUAUGUCAAAUUUCUUUUUUUAAAAUAUAAAUAAAAUUUAAAA
rnacentral:lncRNA from 10 species